rnacentral:rRNA from 1 species
GACGAACGCUGGCGGCGUGCUUAACACAUGCAAGUCGAACGGAAAGGCCCUGCUUUUGUGGGGUGCUCGAGUGGCGAACGGGUGAGUAACACGUGAGUAACCUGCCCUUGACUUUGGGAUAACUUCAGGAAACUGGGGCUAAUACCGGAUAGGAGCUCCUGCUGCAUGGUGGGGGUUGGAAAGUUUCGGCGGUUGGGUAUGGACUCGCGGCUUAUCAGCUUGUUGGUGGGGUAGUGGCUUACCAAGGCUUUGACGGGUAGCCGGCCUGAGAGGGUGACCGGCGACAUUGGGACUGAGAUACGGCCCAGACUCCUACGGGAGGCAGCAGUGGGGAAUAUUGCACAAUGGGCGGAAGCCUGAUGCAGCAACGCCGCGUGCGGGAUGACGGCCUUCGGGUUGUAAACCGCUUUCGCCUGUGACGAAGCGUGAGUGACGGUAAUGGGUAAAGAAGCACCGGCUAACUACGUG